rnacentral:rRNA from 1 species
UACGUAGGGUGCAAGCGUUGUCCGGAAUUAUUGGGCGUAAAGAGCUCGUAGGCGGUCUGUCACGUCGGCUGUGAAAACCCGAGGCUCAACCUCGGGCCUGCAGUCGAUACGGGCAAACUAGAGUACUGCAGGGGAGACUGGAAUUCCUGGUGUAGCGGUGAAAUGCGCAGAUAUCAGGAGGAACACCGGUGGCGAAGGCGGAUCUCUGGGCCAUUACUGACGCUGAGGAGCGAAAGCGUGGGGAGCGAACAGG